GAACUCUGGCGAUUAUCUGACUUUAAAACAUAUACAUUGUGAAUGUUUAAUAAGUUCAACACUUUCUGAUGUCUUUAAGCAUGGUUGUGUAGGUUGACGACAACCUGAGUCCAAAUUUCCCGCACUUUUCAUAUGUUGUAGUCAUUGAUUUAUAUAAACAUUAAUUGCAGUGCGCAUGCCGGCAUAGGUCGGAUGUGGGGGUUACAGCGAGACCUGACCGUGUGGCGACAUGCACUUCCGCGUGGCAAUGUAAUCAAUAGCUGGAGUCCCAAUGAAAAUAAGAGGGGAGUAUUAUCGGAUUGUGUGUACCCGAGGCUCCUGUCUCGUUGCUGGCUGGCCCUGGCAGAGAGAAGAAAAAACGGAACGCUAAAACAAGGUCAGAAGUUAGUAUAGCCAGGUAGCUAGCACUUGCAACUGAUGAGCGGUUGUUAUGGUAGCACCGAUGAGGCCAAGAGUUUUUACAUUGUGCUGGGCUCUUAAGUUACAUCAAAACAAAAGCUGAUGACCGAGUUCAGCAUUCAACACCAUAGUGCCCACAAAGCUCUUCACUGAGCUAAGGACCCUGGGACUAAACACCUCCCUCUGCUACUGGAUCCUGGAAUUUCUGACGGUCUGCCCCCAGAUGGUACAGCUGCACCAUCGAGAGCAUCCUGACUGUUUGCAUCAACACCUGGUAUGGCAACUGCUCGGCAUCCGACCGUAAGGUGCUACAGAGGUUGAUGUUCGAGGCCUAAGGGUUCCCGGAGCAGUGUCUUUGUUCUGGUGGAGGUGACCCACGUGAUGAGAGUCGACAUGGCAGUGGGCCGUUGGUUUAAGAGACUCUUCCUUGACACGUCUAGGUAGCGCUGCUCAUGCUCCUGCUCUGUUGCAACUGACCAGGGCUCACUCUAAGGUUCUCUACACUGUACAUCCCUAUCUGGUUCUAGGGGCGAGGCAAGGGGAGACACGAGGAUGGACAUAGGUGAUCUGGGGAAGUCUCCAUAAGGACAGCCAUAAAGAUCUGGAGAACGCAAGAUGUUAUGUUUGGGUGACUCCAUACUCAAAAUGAUGAACUCUAAAACUAUUGAAUUACAUCUGUAAAAUUGGGAAAGGUCCAAACUUUACUUGCCAAUGUAUUGCCUAUCGGGAGAACAGAUAUCGAGGAUGUUUGCAGAGUGGAUGGGAAAGGGACCUAUGAGACCCACAAUGCACACUCUUGCACAUACGCAGUUAGGUGAGAUGUGUCUAAAGGAAAUGAGUGGGUAAUGUGCAAAAGCAAUGAUUGAAUCCAUCCCUGCAACGUGCAUUAUGUCUGUCAUCUCAAUUGUCUGCUGAAGGGAAUGAUCAAUUCUUAUCUUGUGUUUCUAUAAUUGUUUAGUUUUUUUAAACAAUUGAUGUGCAGCACCAAAGAUAAUACAACUAUGUUUUACUGCAA